UGCGCACGCGCCGGGCGGCAGCUGCACCGAGCAGGGGGAGCAGCGCCGCCGCGGCCGCCAGCAGUGCGGCCUUCGGGCGCCGUGAGCCUCCCACCCACCGAGGGGGAGCCCCGCGACCCCAGCCUCGCUGAGGCGGCAAGGGAAGCGCCGAGAGCGGCGGGCGCGCGCGGACGAGUACUUGCUGGCCGCAGCCAUCCCAGUGGAGAUGAAGUGGUAUCUCAUUGUGGUUUUUAUUUUGACUAUGGUUUUUGAGGCAGCAUGGAAGCUGUGGAGAAAUGACUUCCAGCAGAAAUGGCCUAAGAGGACUAGAGAGCCUAAGAGGACUGAAGGGGCUGAGCUGUCCGUGGGAGCAGUGCCUUUGGCAUCCUGGCCUUUUUUGGCUCCUGUUCAGUUUCAGAACUUGCUUCUCCAGUCUCUCCAUUGAUUUUGUGAGUUAACUGAUAGCCUUCAAAUAAAGUCCCUCUCCACCUAAGCUAACCAGAGCCAAUUUCUAUUGCUGCAAACCAAAGAUAAUCAUUGGUAUCACAUUUAACCAUAGUCUUUAGACUUCUUUAUACUUCCUGAGUGCCUCUUCUCUUGUUGCAAUCCUUCACUUUUCCCCAAACUAACAGUCUCCUCACUGCUGACUCUUUCCUCAGCCACCCACUUCUACUCAUUACCUUGUCUUAUGCCUCUAAGAUGCAACUCUGAUCCCCUUCCCUCCCUUCACGUUUAGCCUCCUUGAUUUAGCACACAAGUCCAUCCAUAAUGUGACCACUGCCUUCUCUGGGCUGCUUUCCUGCCACCACCUGCAGCCAGCCCUCAGACUGGCUUAGAGUACCUCAUUUAUGUAAUUUCUCCUCCACCUUCCUUGAUGUCCUCCUUCUUCCCACCCCAUCUGCUCUGGGUGCCCCUCUAACAUAACACAAGAUACUGUAAUUAUUCUUGAUAUAUCUGUUUCCCUCACUACAAUGUAACAUUUUUAAGAGGAGGAAUCAUGCUUUGUGUCAUUGUAUCUCAGGGCUUAGCAUACGUCAUUGACACCAAGGUCACUAUUAGUUAGAAGAUCUAUAGUAUACAAGUUAUAGCCAUUCUGUCAUUUAUUCUAGAAAAGCAGUAGAGGUAGAGGUGACCAGCAGGACACUGAGGAAGAAGUAAGUGGCAAGCAUUUUUUUAAGUGUUACUGUAAACUAGGCUGCCUUCUGGUGAUCACUAGCAUCUCAGGGGAAUGUAUAUUUCAACAUGACUAUGCAUAAAGGGACAAGAUCACUGAGAAAAUCAUGGUUAUUACAUUUUUUUAAAAUGUUGAAAUUCCUGGAAAACUAAGAAGGAUGCCGACUCAGGCGUUAUGGGGCUGAAACUCACCAUGAGCUUUUUCUACCUUUGGCUAGUGUCAUGUGAAAGAACACACCAACUUUAGGGCUGGCCUCCACACAUGACUUCUUUAUGGUCUUCCCUGGAAUCCUCGACAGCUCACUCUCCAUCAAAACUCUUUGGACAGAAGGAAAUGAGAACAGCCAGCUCUUCCACAUGGAUCCAUUCCUCUUGCCAACUGCCCACAUGAAAGCAUUCCUAUUCAGACUUGUGAGGAGGAGCCACACAAUAGUGUUGAAGGAACACAACAGAACCUUCUAGACUCCUGUGGGCCUCAUCUUGAGUCUACAUCCCCUUCUACAGUUUGACCGCACAAACCUUUGCUUCACUGAAUGCUUCUGGCUGUAGUACACACUGUUCCCUCUGGAAUAUUCUGCUCCAUGUCUUUCCAUGACCGGCUCUCAACUUCAACGUCUCAUCUUUGGAGAGACCCUCCUGACUACCUUAAAUAAAGCCCAUUCCCCUCUUGGUA